AGAACGAACGCUGGCGGCAGGCCUAACACAUGCAAGUCGAGCGGUAGAGAGGUGCUUGCAUCUCUUGAGAGCGGCGGACGGGUGAGUAAUGCCUAGGAAUCUGCCUAGUGGUGGGGGAUAACGUUCGGAAACGGACGCUAAUACCGCAUACGUCCUACGGGAGAAAGCGGGGGACCUUCGGGCCUCGCGCCAUUAGAUGAGCCUAGGUCGGAUUAGCUAGUUGG
rnacentral:rRNA from 1 species